CUUCCGUAGGGUGAACCUGCGGAAGGAUC
rnacentral:rRNA from 3 species